rnacentral:rRNA from 1 species
GACGAACGCUGGCGGCGUGCCUAACACAUGCAAGUCAACUUGACUGAAGGAGCAAUCUGACAGUAGAGUGGCGCAAGGGUGCGUAACGCGUAAGUAACUUGCCCAAGGUAAGGAAUAACGUCGAGAAAUCGGCGCUAAUACCUCAUAAUGCAGCGGAUCCGCAUGGAUAUGUUGUUAAAGGUUUACCGCCUUGGGAUAGGCUUGCGUCUGAUUAGCUAGUUGGUGUGGUAACGGCACACCAAGGCUACGAUCAGUAACUGGUCUGAGAGGAUGAUCAGUCACACUGGAACUGAGACACGGUCCAGACUCCUACGGGAGGCAGCAGUGAGGAAUAUUGGGCAAUGCUCGAAAGAGUGACCCAGCAACGCCGCGUGGAGGAUGAAGGUAUUCUAUAUCGUAAACUCCUGUGAGAGCAGACGAAAGACAGAUUAUUAAUCUGGAUGACUGUAUGCUCAG